AAUGUAUGGCGCCGUUAACUUUUUAUCUAACGUUUGACCAUUCGUCUUAUUCAAAAAAUUUAUAUAAUUAUCAUUUAUUUUAUGGUGAUUUGAUUCAUCAUCAAAUGUUCUUUAAGCAUGAUAUAAAUAUUUUCAUGUUUGCACAAAAAAUUUGAAUAAAAUGAAUGGUCAAACGUUGAUAGAAAAGUUAACGGCGUCAUAUAUU
rnacentral:pre_miRNA from 1 species